AUAAUUAAAAAUCUCGUAAACUAACGCAACGUAAACGUGUUUAGGGAAUAAGGUGAGAAACCUUGACUGUUCCCGCAACUGUAAAUUGCAGUGACUUAAGAGUUGCUCGAUGAGUCAGCAUACCUAUCCACAAUAAGAUCACCAC
rnacentral:ncRNA from 2 species